AUUGAACGCUGGCGGCAGGCCUAACACAUGCAAGUCGAACGAGUGGCGGACGGGUGAGUAAUGUCUGGGAAACUGCCUGAUGGAGGGGGAUAACUACUGGAAACGGUAGCUAAUACCGCAUACCAUCGGAUGUGCCCAGAUGGGAUUAGCUAGUAGGUGGGGUAAAGGAUCACCUAGGCGACGAUCCCUAGCUGGUCUGUGAGGAUGACCAGGCACACUAGAACUGAGACACGGUCCAGACUACUACGGGAGGCAGCGGAGGGGAAUAUUGCACAAUGGGCUGAAGCCUGGUGCGGCCAUGCCGCGUGUAUGAAGAAGGCCUUCGGGUUGUAGAGGUAUUUUAGCGGUGAGGCGUUACCCGCAGAAGAAGCACCGGCUAACUCCGUGCCAGCAGCCGCGGUAAUAC
rnacentral:rRNA from 1 species